GGCACCAUCUGUAACACAGAAGAUAUCAAACU
rnacentral:piRNA from 1 species